rnacentral:rRNA from 1 species
AUCCUCCCACCCUUUGUGUACCUACCUCUGUUGCUUUGGCGGGCCGCGGUCCUCCGCGGCCGCCCCCCUCCCCGGGGGGGUGGCCAGCGCCCGCCAGAGGACCAUCAAACUCCAGUCAGUAAACGAUGCAGUCUGAAAAACAUUUAAUAAACUAAAACUUUCAACAACGGAUCUCUUGGUUCUGGCAUCGAUGAAGAACGCAGCGAAAUGCGAUAAGUAAUGUGAAUUGCAGAAUUCAGUGAAUCAUCGAAUCUUUGAACGCACAUUGCGCCCUUUGGUAUUCCGAAGGGCAUGCCUGUUCGAGCGUCAUUACAACCCUCAAGCUCUGCUUGGUAUUGGGCACCGUCCUUUGCGGGCGCGCCUCAAAGACCUCGGCGGUGGCGUCUUGCCUCAAGCGUAGUAGAACAUACAUCUCGCUUCGGAGCGCAGGGCGUCGCCCGCCGGACGAACCUUCUGAACUUUUCUCAAGGUUGACCUCGGAUCAGGUAGGGAUACCCGCUGAACUUAAGCAUAUCAAUAAGCGGAGGA